UGGGGAAUAUUGCACAAUGGGCGCAAGCCUGAUGCAGCCAUGCCGCGUGUAUGAAGAAGGCCUUCGGGUUGUAAAGUACUUUCAGCGGGGAGGAAGGGAGUAAAGUUAAUACCUCUGCUCAUUGACGUUACCCGCAGAAGAAGCACCGGCUAACUCCGUGCCAGCAGCCGCGGUAAUACGGAGGGUGCAAGCGUUAAUCGGAAUUACUGGGCGUAAAGCGCACGCAGGCGGUUUGUUAAGUCAGAUGUGAAAUCCUCGGGCUCAACCUGGGAACUGCAUCUGAUACUGGCAAGCUUGAGUCUCGUAGAGGGGGGUAGAAUUCCAUGUGUAGCGGUGAAAUGCGUAGAGAUGUGGAGGAAUACCGGUGGCGAAGGCGGCCCCCUGGACAAAGACUGACGCUCAGGUGCGAAAGCGUGGGGAGCAAACAGG
rnacentral:rRNA from 1 species